rnacentral:rRNA from 1 species
AACGAACGCUGGCGGCAGGCCUAACACAUGCAAGUCGAGCGCGCCCUUCGGGGUGAGCGGCGGACGGGUGAGUAACGCGUGGGAACGUGCCCUUUUCUACGGAAUAGCCUCGGGAAACUGAGAGUAAUACCGUAUACGCCCUUUGGGGGAAAGAUUUAUCGGAAAAGGAUCGGCCCGCGUUGGAUUAGGUAGUUGGUGGGGUAAUGGCCUACCAAGCCGACGAUCCAUAGCUGGUUUGGGAGGAUGAUCAGCCACACUGGGACUGAGACACGGCCCAGACUCCUACGGGAGGCAGCAGUGGGGAAUCUUAGACAAUGGGGGCAACCCUGAUCUAGCCAUGCCGCGUGAGUGAUGAAGGCCUUAGGGUUGUAAAGCUCUUUCAGCUGGGAAGAUAAUGACGGUACCAGCAGAAGAAGCCCCGGCUAACUCCGUG